AUUGAACGCUGGCGGCAGGCCUAACACAUGCAAGUCGAGCGAGUGGCGGACGGGUGAGUAAUGUCUGGGGAACUGCCCGAUGGAGGGGGAUAACUACUGGAAACGGUGGCUAAUACCGCAUACUAUCAGAUGAACCCAGAUGGGAUUAGCUAGUGGGGGGGUUAAAGGCUAACCAAGGCGACGAUCCCUAACUGGUCUGAGAGGAUGAUCAGCCACACUGGAACUGAGACACGGUCCAGACUCCUACGGGAGGCAGCAGUGGGGAAUAUUGCACAAUGGGCGCAAGCCUGAUGCAGCCAUGCCGCGUGUGUGAAGAAGGCCUUAGGGUUGUAAAGUACUUUAAGCGGGGAGGCGUUACCAGCAGAAGAAGCACCGGCUAACUCCGUGCCAGCAGCCGCGGUAAUAC
rnacentral:rRNA from 1 species